CUGCCCUGGUAGUUAUUGCAGUGCCAAAGUUCCUUCUGGCAUAUUCUGUCUGACAUACAUGUUAUUUGUUUCUUGUUUCGAUGAUUGUCGUGAAUGGCUUUGGGUAUUGUGGUUCCCUCCUCGAUCAAGUUUUUUCAGGGUUUUCGAAUUUACGAUCGAUCAAUGUGUUCUAGUCGGAAUGAAUGUGUUUUUGUCGGAUUAAAGAACGAAGCAUUAUCAGUGUCUUUGUCGGAUUGUUGGAUUGAAGAACAAUAAUUAUACGCAAAUUCUGAAGAUAAUUCUUUAUCUGAUAAUGUCGAGUUUUGGAUUUUUUGCGUAUUUUCUUUACACCUAGUGAUCGCCUUUUCUUUGGUCGCCUUUUCUUUGACAUUUCUUUUGCAUAUGGAUGAUAUGGAAAGCAUAAUAGUUCAGAACAGCAAGGGCUCAGCAUAACCUAAGUGUUCUUUGUGCCUCCUUUCUGUUAUAAUAUAAGCUUUUUGGUAUUGAUCAUCGAAUGUAGGAUUGAACUAUGAUGUGCUUAUCUGCAGUGGUAUUUGGAAUGAUUUUGUAACAUCCGGAAUUAAGACCCGUUAUCGUUUUUUUGAAUUUUGGGUGUGUACAGGACAGUGUAUGGAUGUGUGGUGUAGGAGAUCAUGUAAGUAUUAGGAUUUGUUACACUUAUGUUUUCUUAAGACGUUCUGAUUUCGGAACCUAUCAGAUUUGUUGUUUGUGUUUAUUCCUUUGCAGUAUGUCCCGAAUCUCUGAGAUUUCUUUUGGCGGUUGAGGAUGUAGAAUCGAGUUUUGAUCGCUGUAGCUCUCAAUAUCCUAAUUUCUCGAUGAAUGUUCUCUCUUAUCUUCUUUCUCUCGACUUGAUUACCAAACAUGAGGAUUGAAUUGUGAUUUGUUCCUCGGAUUUUUGAAAAACUAUAAAUGUGAAUAUAGUUCUUAUUUGAUUUUUGAAAUCUGUCAAAUCUAGGUGAUCUGCAAUUGUGUUAAUUCCUUUUCAGCACAUUAGCAGUUGAGGAUUAAAUAAUAAUACAAUAUCCAAGGUAAUAUAAUUUCUUGGAUGAGUUUCAUUUCUAUUAUUUAAUUUCUUUGAACCUGAUCUUGUUUUUCCGCAGCAAUGUUUGGGGAUUUGUUUAGUGUAACAUUUGUCUCAUUGAGCAUAUAUUAGGAGCGAAGAUGUCUCUGCGGUUUGGUUGGAUUCAUUGCUGACCUUGCAGUGUGGCUGUCUGUAUGCACUAUCAGACUAUUGGAGGCACUAUAAAUUGGGGAGGAUUUGUCUGGCAACUAAUGAUUAAAUGGAAACUUCUCUUAAAUAAUUUCUUUCAGCUUUUUGGUCAUUUUAUUGUUUUUUUUGUCAUUUCUUAGUGAUUUGAAUUUCUAAUUUCAUAUAUGAAGUACUGGAUUCAUAGUGAAAAAAAAGGAUAAGAGGAUAAAAUAUGGUGGCCAUUUCAUAUAUGCUGUUUGACUGUUAUUUUGAUUAUCUUCAACUCCUUUUGCAGUCCUCUUGCAGUUAAGAGGAUGUCUAGUGGAUCAUGGAUGCAAUAGCUGAAGGUACAUGGUCAGCCAUUGUAUUAGUCGAAGGAGGAGUCAUUCUUCAUAGUUGAAAUUAUGAUCAUCGAGCCUCUUACGAAAAUUUGUUUAUUGGUUUUUUAGAAAGUUUAUUUGUUUAUCCAUCUUAUUGUCUAGGUCCUUCAUCUUUUACCCAUAUUAAUUAUAGUUUUCUUAAAUUCAUGGGCUGUAUAGGGAAACUACGAAAUGAAGUGGAUGCAUAGUGUGCAAAUGAUGGGUGGUGGUGGUGGUCAUGUUUUGGGAACAGUGAAUGGAGAUCCCGUGAAACUUUAGGUCAGGCAAAACUUGUGGAGUGAGGAGAUCUUGUAAAUACUCGCUAUAUGAGUGAGAAACUUUGUCAUUUUGUUGUUGGGCGGUUGGCUCUUCAUUUUGAUUAUCUUCUUCUACUAGUGUAGCAGUGAAAAUGAUGUUUAUUUCAUUGUGGAGGCAAUAACUGUAGAUUAUUGAACAUAUUACAAAGCUUUAUUUUUUAUCAC